GACGAACGCUGGCGGCGUGCUUAACACAUGCAAGUCGAACGGAAGGGCCCUGCUUUUGUGGGGUGCUCGAGUGGCGAACGGGUGAGUAACACGUGAGUAACCUGCCCUUGACUUUGGGAUAACUUCAGGAAACUGGGGCUAAUACCGGAUAGGAGCUCCUGCUGCAUGGUGGGGGUUGGAAAGUUUCGGCGGUUGGGGAUGGACUCGCGGCUUAUCAGCUUGUUGGUGGGGUAGUGGCUUACCAAGGCCUUGACGGGUAGCCGGCCUGAGAGGGUGACCGGCCACAUUGGGACUGAGAUACGGCCCAGACGCCUACGGGAGGCAGCAGUGGGGAAUAUUGCACAAUGGGCGGAAGCCUGAUGCAGCAACGCCGCGUGCGGGAUGACGGCCUUCGGGUUGUAAACCGCUUUCGCCUGUGACGAAGCGUGAGUGACGGUAAUGGGUAAAGAAGCACCGGCUAACUACGUG
rnacentral:rRNA from 1 species